UACGAAGGGGGCUAGCGUUGCUCGGAAUCACUGGGCGUAAAGCGCACGUAGGCGGAUUUCUAAGUCAGGGGUGAAAUCCUGGAGCUCAACUCCAGAACUGCCUUUGAUACUGGGAAUCUCGAGUCCGGGAGAGGUGAGUGGAACUGCGAGUGUAGAGGUGAAAUUCGUAGAUAUUCGCAAGAACACCAGUGGCGAAGGCGGCUCACUGGCCCGGUACUGACGCUGAGGUGCGAAAGCGUGGGAGCAACAGG
rnacentral:rRNA from 1 species